UACGUAGGGGGCUAGCGUUGUCCGGAUUUAUUGGGCGUAAAGAGCUCGUAGGCGGUCUGUCGCGUCGGAUGUGAAAACCCAGGGCUCAACCCUGGGCCUGCAUUCGAUACGGGCAGACUAGAGUUCGGUAGGGGAGACUGGAAUUCCUGGUGUAGCGGUGGAAUGCGCAGAUAUCAGGAGGAACACCGAUAGCGAAGGCAGCUCGCUGGGACGGUACUGACGCUGAGGCGCGAAAGCCAGGGGAGCGAACGGG
rnacentral:rRNA from 1 species